ACAAACAAGCCACUCUCAGAAGCAGCUUUGGGAUUUCCUGUGACCAGAAAGGUGGUCUUCUCCAUGGGUACUUGUGGUAAUACAGAGAAAUAUUAAUUCCUGUCUCUAAUUAUCACUAGGUUGCAGGAGGAGGAUCCCAACAGGGACAAGAGAGAACUUUGACAGAUUCUCUUCAGUAUUCUCCACGCCCCAUGUAAUGUUUGGCUGUGGCACUCUGCAUCUGUUUUCAUCAGAUUGGCGAAGCAUCUCUGAUGACAACUGGACUAGACACCGAUCUAUGAGUCUCUGGGCUAUCCAGUCUCUGGUUCCUGGCCGCUCAGGCAGUGUCAGGGGUAGGCUUCCUCUCAUACAUAGGUCUCAAGAUGGACCAGUCAUUGGUUGGCCACUCCUUCAAUUUCUGUGCCAUCUUGCAGGCCCUGGCGCCUCAACCCCCUAUCUCUGCAAAUAAAGAAGUCCCACCAUCUCAGCCCCAGCCAAUGAUAUGAGCGUACCCUGGAAGUUCCUUCCUACUCCCCAAGGUUCAUAUAACCCUUGUUCGCCUGAAUAAAGCAUACAGGCUGUUUCACUGAAUAUCAUCUAAGAGUUCCUGUGUCACUGGGAGAGCUCCGAGUUAAAAGGCUGUACCACUUGAAAAGCUGUUUCAGAGAGAACUUUCUCUCUUCCGGUAUGACCCGCC